AUUGAACGCUGGCGGCAUGCCUAACACAUGCAAGUCGAGCGAGCGGCGGACGGGUGAGUAAUGUCUGGGAAACUGCCUGAUGGAGGGGGAUAACUACUGGAAACGGUAGCUAAUACCGCAUACCAUCAGAUGUGCCCAGAUGGGAUUAGGUAGUUGGUGAGGUAAAGGCUCACCAAGCCGACGAUCUCUAGCUGGUCUGAGAGGAUGACCAGCCACACGGGGACGGAGACACGGCCCAGACUCCGACGGGAGGCAGCAGUGGGGAAUAUGGCGCAAUGGGGGCAACCCUGACGCAGCCAUGCCGCGUGAAUGAAGAAGGCCUUCGGGUUGUAAAGUUCUGUCGGGAGCGAGGCGUUAACUACAGAAGAAGCACCGGCUAACUCCGUGCCAGCCGCCGCGGUAAUUC
rnacentral:rRNA from 1 species